UGAAUACGAGACGCUAAGGCGUCGAAGUAGUGUAUGUCAUACUUCCAAGAAAAGCUUGCACUGCCAUAGAUAAAAAACGCCUGUACCAUAACCGACACAGGUGGGUAGGUAGAGUAUACUAAGGGGCGCGAGAUAACUCUCUCUAAGGAACUCGGCAAAAUAACUCCGUAACUUCGGGAGAAGGAGUGCCUUAUUCGUAAGGUUGCAAUAACAAGAUCCAAGCAACUGUUUAUCAAAAACACAGGUCUCCGCUAAGUCGUAAGACGAUGUAUGGGGGCUGACGCCUGCCCAGUGCCAGAAGGUUAAAGAAGUUGGUUAGCAAUUGCGAAGCUGAUAACUGAAGCCCUGGUGAACGGCGGCCGUAACUAUAACGGUCCUAAGGUAGCGAAAUUCCUUGUCGGGUAAGUUCCGACCCGCACGAAAGGCGUAAUGAUUUGGAUACUGUCUCGGAGAGGGGCUCGGUGAAAUAGACUUGUCUGUGAAGAUGCGGACUACCUGCACCAGGACAGAAAGACCCUAUGAAGCUUUACUGUAACUUGAAAUUGAAAUUGGACUUUAUUCGCGCAGUAUAGGUGGGAGGCGUUGAUUAUAAUCUUGUGGGAUUAUUGGAGCCAUCAGUGAGAUACCACUCUUGUAAUGUUAGAUUUCUAACUUUGAAUCAUUAUCUGGUCAAAGAACAGUUUCAGGCGGGCAGUUUGACUGGGGCGGUCGCCUCCUAAACGGUAACGGAGGCGUACAAAGGUUUCCUCUGAACGGUUAGAAAUCGUAUCUAGAGUGUAAAGGCAUAAGGAAGCUUGACUGUGAGACCUACAAGUCGAGCAGGGACGAAAGUCGGUCUUAGUGAUCUGACGGUACUGAGUGGGAAGGCCGUCACUCAACGGAUAAAAGUUACUCUAGGAUAACAGGCUGAUCUCCCCCAAGAGUUCACAUCGACGGGGAGGUUUGGCACCUCGAUGUCGGCUCAUCGCAUCCUGGGGCGGUAGUACGUCCCAAGGGUUGGGCUGUUCGCCCAUGAAAGCGGUACGCGAGCUGGGUUCAGAACGUCGUGAGACAGUUCGGUCCACAUCCGGUGUAGGCGUUAGAAUAUUGAGAGGAGCCUUCUUUAGUACGAGAGGACCGAGAAGGACAUACCUCUGGUGUACCAGUUAUCGUGCCAACGGUAAACGCUGGGUAGCUAUGUAUGGAGUGGAUAACCGCUGAAAGCAUCUAAGUGGGAAGCCCACCUCAAGAUAAGUAUUCUCA
rnacentral:rRNA from 1 species